GUGGGGAAUAUUCCGCAAUGGACGAAAGUCUGACGGAGCAACGCCGCGUGAGUGAUGAAGGUUUUCGGACUGUAAAGCUCUGUUGUUUAGGACGAAAGUGCCUGUUGCAAAUAGUUACAGGUAUUGACGGUACUGAACGAGGAAGCCACGGCUAACUACGUGCCAGCAGCCGCGGUAAUACGUAGGUGGCAAGCGUUGUCCGGAAUUAUUGGGCGUAAAGAGCAUGUCGGCGGGAAUCUAAGUCUGUUGUGAAAAUGCGGUGCUCAACCCCGUAUUGCGAUGGAAACUGGGUUUCUUGAGUGCAGGAGAGGAAAGGGGAAUUCCCAGUGUAGCGGUGAAAUGCGUAGAUAGUGGGAGGAACACCAGUGGCGAAGGAGCCUUUCUGGACUGUGUCUGACGCUGAGAUGCGAAAGCCAGGGUAGCGAACGGGAUUAGAAACCCUUGUAGUCC
rnacentral:rRNA from 1 species